rnacentral:misc_RNA from 1 species
ACCUCGCACGCUGCCAUGAUGCGUAGGUGUUUCCGGCCGGCUGAAGCACGGGCAUCUGCUCGAUCUCUCGUGCGCUCAAGAACGAAGAAAGAGAAGGAGAAAAGACCGAAGAAGGAAAAGGAAAGGAGAGAGAGACGGAGAGAUGGAGAGAGAGAAAGAGGGCGAUUAGAGAGAGGAAACAGCAACACACGGCGUCAAGCAAUAGAGAGAGAGAGAGAGAGGGAGAAGAACGAGCCGACAAAUAAGGGAGCUAGCGAACAGAGCGAGAAAAAUAGAGUCAGUCAGCGGGUGAGCGAGUAGAAAAGCAGGAUGCGAGUGGAAGGACGCCGGCCGUGGAGAGAGCAACCAAGAGAGAGAAAGAGAGAGAGAGGGAGGAUAUACUCGGCCGGAAGCAGUUACUCGUGCGAUGUAACGAAAAUAUCAGCCGUCCGUUUCGCAAUCGGCCUACCCGCGUUCGCCGAGUUUAAUAUAGAACACUCGCACGCCCUGUCGCGAAAACAUCACACUAACCUCGCUAACCGCACGUUGCUAUUGCAUUUAUCGCAUCAGAUCGAGAAAAAAGAUCCCGUUCAUCCUCCUCUGUAUGAUUCGACCGAAGCUGCGUCGACGAAAAGAAGACGUCUGCACAGUGUCCAGGAAUCGAACUAUCGACAAACCAUCCUUCUGACGAAUAAAAUCUCACGCGUAUCUACACGAAGACCAUAGAGCAAGAAUAGGAUAAGUCACAUUUAGCAAUUUGGAAGUCCGAUAUCUUAUCAACGUAACAUCAUCAAUUUCUAACCUACUGCUAAAAUGCUUAUCUUCUGGUCGAUGGAUUGGAUGUUCUCUCUUUUAAGUACGUUAUAUCAAUGUACACGCUUUUAAUCGCUGAAUAACAUCAAAGUUAAAAAAUCAACAACAGAAUUGUUCUUGUCACGCCCUUUCCCUGUAAUCUUCGUAUACUUGAACGUUCUAAUGUAUUCAUGAAAACGAUAGUUCGUUAGAGCACGUAUCCGCUGUAAUCAUAGACUAACACGUAUUUCCUUGUUGUUUAGAAUUGCAUUUGUGCGAACAAGUUGUUGCGCCCUGUAACAGUUGUCAUCCGUUUGUUUCUCUUUGGCGCCUUGUAGCAUCGUGUCACAUAGAACCGUGCUAACGUUCUUUCAAUAACGAUUAUAUCGUCAAACUGCACCGAAUAAGACAUAUAGCACAAUACUGCUGCAAAGGUUUGUUGCAUUGUACCACUGGAAUUGGAAACCUUUCUGCAGCGUGUUGCACCUUUGUUUCUCCGCUGCUUACGUUCUGUAGGUAAAGCGAUGCGAUAAACACCGCGUAUCAAAUCUUACAAUAUUUUUAAGUCAGUCGGUACUAUGAAAUUAUCGUGUCACGUACGAGUAUAAGUGCUUAUCCUUAAUACAAUAUGUACCAAAGGAUGAAACUAGUUUCGCGGGCGGGUAGAAGGUGAAGGGGAAGAAGGGGUUAAAGGACGUCUCCGGUAGCUUUGACUUCUUCGAAUGUGGUUGAACGAGUCGUCAAGGUAAGGCAAAGCGAGGCAAAAGCGAGCCAGGCCAAUCUUCCCUUUCGUUGAUGCGUUCGUUCGUGCGGAGAGGAAGGGAUAAGUAACCGGAGAUAGCGAUGGAAUCAACGCGUUCCGAAU